UUACUAGUCUCAAUGUCAUGCAUCUUAUGCAAACUUUCAACCAUGGCACAAGAAGUGUUCAUGUGCUUAUGUUGCUUCAUAAGCUCCUCACUAAGUGAAGUGAGGAUUAAGCAUUUGGCUUGUAGGUCAUCCUCAUAGUGUCUAACAUAUUUUUGACACUCUUCCUUUGAAGCUAGUUUCGUAGGAGGUAAAUGAGGAGGGGAUUGCUUAAGCACAUACAAUAUGUCUUUCACCUUUGAGACAUUCUCAAUGUGGCGAUACCAAGCAAGGAAACGUUGGCCCUUAAGGCCCUUUUUGUCAAGUAUAAUGGUGGGUAUAAUUUUAGGCAUGUCGUUAACUACAUAACAUAACAUAAAUCGUAUUAGAUUGUUUGUUUUAAAACUAUUUGAUUGGGUCUUUGAAUCAAAUAGUACCACCCACUAUUUUUGGCAAAUUCCACAUCCCUCAAUAGAAUUCGAGAGUUAUAUUGAACUCUUAGCGGGGUAUGGGAGACUCACCAUUACCAAGCCUACCUCACGAUGAUAUGAUGUUGGUUAGCAAAAAUAAUGAUGAGAGAAUAACGCAUUAUUCAUUUACAACCUUUUGUAAUUACCCAUCC
rnacentral:lncRNA from 1 species